AAAAAAUAGAGGGAUGAAACACGAGGACUUCC
rnacentral:sRNA from 1 species